UACGGAGGGGGCGAGCGUUAUUCGGAAUUAUUGGGCGUAAAGGGCGCGUAGGCGGCCGGAUAAGUCAAAGGUGAAAUCCCUCGGCUCAACUGAGGAACUGCCUUUGAAACUGUUUGGCUCGAGUCCGGGAGGGGGUAGCGGAAUUCCCAGUGUAGCGGUGAAAUGCGUAGAUAUUGGGAGGAACACCAGUGGCGAAGGCGGCUCACUGGACUGGUAUUGACGCUGAGGUGUGAAAGCGUGGGGAGCAAGCAGG
rnacentral:rRNA from 1 species